AUUGAACGCUAACGGCAUGCUUAACACAUGCAAGUCGAACGGCAGCACGGUAGUAGCAAUACUAUGGGUGGCGAGUGGCGGACGGGUGAGUAAUACAUAGGAAUCUGCCUUGUAGUGGGGGAUAACCCGGGGAAACUCGGGCUAAUACCGCAUAAUCUUUACGAAGCAAAGUGGGGGACCUUCGGGCCCUACGCUAUAAGAUGAGCCUAUGUCGGAUUAGCUAGUUGGUGGGGUAAAGGCCUACCAAGGCAACGAUCCGUAGCUGGUCUGAGAGGAUGAUCAGCCACACUGGGACUGAGACACGGCCCAGACUCCUACGGGAGGCAGCAGUGGGGAAUAUUGGACAAUGGGCGAAAGCCUGAUCCAGCAAUGCCGUGUGUGUGAAGAAGGCCUUCGGGUUGUAAAGCACUUUUAGUGGGGAAGAAAAGUUCGUGGCUAAUAUCCAUGAAUGCUGACGUUACCCACAGAAAAAGCACUGGCUAACUCUGUGCCAGCCGCCGCUGUAAGAC
rnacentral:rRNA from 1 species